UUUCUCUUUUACCGGAAACGCGACAGCAAUUGGGUACCAGUGUGAUAGAGUUCAGAUGGACAUUACAGAGACAAUUUGUUAAGACACAGUAUAUUUAUGUCCUCUGAGAAUUUUCUUGUUUAAAUCUUGAGCAAAUUACAUGUACAAGAGUAUGAACAAAAAGAAAAAAAAACUCGAAUGGAAACUAGUUUGAUCUCUGUGUGAAAUAAAACAGGUGCUAAUUACUUGCGUAGGAAAAAAUGGAUCGAAUUACCAAAUUUUCGUGUUUUUAUUUGAUUUUUGUGGAACCCGUUUUACAACAUAUAUUUUCUAGUCUAAUGAGACUGGUAGGUCAACAACUCAUCACUUCUGCCUUGAAUAAAAGAUACGAUAUUUUUGU
rnacentral:sRNA from 1 species